CAAUAGCGUAUAUUAAAGUUGUUGCAGUUAAAAAGCUCGUAGUUGGAUUUCGGGACGGGCCAGUUGGUCCGCCGCAAGGUGUGUUACUGACUGGUCUGUUCUUCUUCGCAAAGACUGCGUGUGCUCUUCGUUGAGUGUGCGUAGGAUUUACGACGUUUACUUUGAAAAAAUUAGAGUGUUCAAAGCAGGCUAUCGCUUGAAUACAUGAGCAUGGAAUAAUGGAAUAGGACUUUGGUCCUAUUUUGUUGGUUUCUAGGACCGAAGUAAUGAUUAAGAGGGACAAUUGGGGGCAUCCGUAUUUCGUUGUCAGAGGUGAAAUUCUUGGAUUUACGAAAGACGAACAACUGCGAAAGCACUUGCCAAGAGUGAUUUCAUUAA
rnacentral:rRNA from 1 species